GAGAGGAGAAAAAACGUAAAUGCUUCAUUGAGCUCAAAGUCUUCGCCCUUUCUUAAUUACGUAGUGUCCAGCGUCUUUUUUUCUUUCCUCAAAGGCUUGGGUAGCGGUAAUUAGCCUGGGGAGGAUAAAACCAGGCGCCUGGAGAAGACUGGUGCAUUCUGGAGCGAGAUGGCUAACAGGCAGGUCGCAUUCCUCCUCCAUGGACUCCUCUUCCUUGCACUGUAUCAACCCUCACUUCAAGGAGGUGUGUAUGUCCCUCCAGGCGGAGCUGCAGUAGGAGGUGGUCUAUACCCAGGUGGAUUUGCUGGCCCUGGUACAGGAGCAGGAGUUGGUGCAAAACCUGCUAAACCAGGU